GACGAACGCUGGCGGCGUGCUUAACACAUGCAAGUCGAACGGUGAACCUCUUCGGAGGGGAUCAGUGGCGAACGGGUGAGUAACACGUGGGCAACCUGCCCCCGGCUCUGGGAUAACUCCAAGAAAUUGGGGCUAAUACCGGAUGUUCACCGCUUCCCGCAUGGGUGGGUGUGGAAAGGGUUUCCGGCUGGGGAUGGGCCCGCGGCCUAUCAGCUUGUUGGUGGGGUAGUGGCCUACCAAGGCGACGACGGGUAGCCGGCCUGAGAGGGUGACCGGCCACACUGGGACUGAGACACGGCCCAGACUCCUACGGGAGGCAGCAGUGGGGAAUAUUGCGCAAUGGGCGGAAGCCUGACGCAGCGGCGCCGCGUGGGGGAUGACGGCCUUCGGGUUGUAAACCUCUUUCAGCAGGGACGAAGCGCAAGUGACGGUACCUGCAGAAGAAGCACCGGCCAACUACGUG
rnacentral:rRNA from 1 species